CGCUAUUGCUUUGGCAGUACGCUGGCUUCUUAGAGGGACUAUCGGCUCAAGCCGAUGGAAGUUUGAGGCAAUACAGGGCUGUGAUGCCCUUAGAUGUUCUGGGCCGCACGCCCGCUACACUGACGGAGCCAGCGAGUACUCCCUUGGCCGGAAGGUCCGGGUAAUCUUGUUAAACUCCGUCGUGCUGGGGAUAGAGCAUUGCAAUUAUUGCUCUUCAACGAGGAAUCCCUAGUAAGCGCAAGUCAUCAGCUUGCGUUGAUUACGUCCCUGCCCUUUGUACACACCGCCCGUCGCUACUACCGAUUGAAUGGCUAAC
rnacentral:rRNA from 1 species